UACGUAGGGGGCAAGCGUUGUCCGGAUUUAUUGGGCGUAAAGAGCGUGUAGGCGGCUAGGUAGGUCCGUUGUGAAAACUCGAGGCUCAACCUCGAGACGCCGAUGGAAACCAUCUAGCUAGAGUCCGGAAGAGGAGAGUGGGAAUUCCUGGUGUAGCGGUGAAAUGCGCAGAUAUCAGGAAGAACACCCGUGGCUAAGGCGGCUCUCUAGUACGGUACUGACGCUGAGACGCGAAAGCGUGGGGAGCGAACAGG
rnacentral:rRNA from 1 species